CGGGGCCCCUGGGCAGCCUGUGGAUAGGCACAUGACUUUGGGACCCAUAUUCCCCUGUAGCGGAUCAGGCGCCUUCCCUUCCCAUGUUGACAAGCACGCCCGAUGGGCCCUGAUGGUUGGGGGAGGGGAUCCCGGAGAUGUCGGGGACCUUAAGGCCAGAUAGACGGGCUGGGUGACCCGGGCAGAGGGGCCCUCAGGUAUG